AUGAAAAUCGUUAGUUGGAACUGCCGGGGGUUGGGGAAUGGCCCGGCGGUUCGGUCUCUUCUCGAGUUGGGAAGAAUGGAGGACCCUGAUAUUUUGUUUUUCUCGAAGACGAGGUUGUAUGAGAAGGAGUUAGAGCACUUAAGGUGGAAAUUGGGGUUAGUGAAGGAAAUAUGCCCUAGAGGCAAUAAUAAAGUUAUUAUUUAUUUCCUUAUAUUCAUGAUAAAUGUUUAUUAUUCAUGCUAG
rnacentral:rRNA from 1 species